UACGUAGGGGGCGAGCGUCGUCCGGAAUUAUUGGGCGUAAAGAGCGUGUAGGCGGUUCGGUAAGUCUGUCGUGAAAACCUGGGGCUCAACCCCAGGCGUGCGGUGGAUACUGCCGGGCUAGAGUUCGGUAGGGGAGACUGGAAUUCCUGGUGUAGCGGUGAAAUGCGCAGAUAUCAGGAGGAACACCGGUGGCGAAGGCGGGUCUCUGGGCCGAUACUGACGCUGAGGAGCGAAAGCGUGGGGAGCGAACAGG
rnacentral:rRNA from 1 species